GAAAUCUCUUUAACAAAACUAAUUUCCCCACAAAAUCAAUGGAAAUCAACUUAUAUAGAUCUUGAACUCUGAAAUCAUUUAAUUUCUAUUACUUUGUGUCUAACAAUUCUCAACCAAACAAAGGAAAUGAUUUCAUUUUUAUUUUUCUUAUUUCAUUUCCUCCUACCAAAUAAACAUAUGGUAAACCAUAUGGUUAGUUGUUAAGAACAUUGCUAGUUUCGAAACAUUUUAAGGAUAUCAAAUCUGUAAGUGAAAAGAGGGUGAGCAGAAAUUAUUUUAUAUGGGGUAUAGAACUAUGAAGUUUUUGCACGGAUACUAACUUUUCUCGGCCAUGUGGUGUAAAUACGAACUUCUGUGGGGAAACUUGUAAAAAUACAAAUACCGGUGUCUUAGACACUGGUCUUGCUUUUUUGACAAAGCCGGUGAUGUAGCUACCGGUUUUUCCUUGUUUUCUCUCCUUUUCAAUUUCUCCUGUAUUAAUCUUGUGGGAACAUCGCAGAAAGCCGGUGAUGAAGGGGAGUCUAAGACCGAUGUCUUUGACACCGGCGUAGUCAGGAAAAGAGAAAACAAAGGCAAGAUCGGUGUUGGAGACAACUGGAAUCACUACUUACUAACUUUUGAUCCAAUUUGAUCAUUUGAGUUCUCGUUCUCAUAAAACUACAAAGAGUAAACAAGAGUAUCUCAGUGUGUAUGCAUUGUGUAUGGUAUAUAUCCUAGGCCCGUCGACACCAAUUGUAUUAGACGACUCAUGAUCUUUCAUGUACUUUAAUGUAAUGCAAGAGGUUAACUAUUAUCGAAAAAUACCCUUUACAUGUUUAUGAUAAUCAGAUAGUAUUUCAAUCUUUGAUUU